rnacentral:rRNA from 1 species
UACGUAGGGGGCAAGGCGUUGUCCGGAUUUAUUGGGCGUAAAGAGCGUGUAGGCGGUUUGGUAGGUCCGCUGUGAAAACUCGAGGCUCAACCUCGAGACGCCGGUGGAAACCAUCAGACUAGAGUCCGGAAGAGGAGAGUGGAAUUCCUGGUGUAGCGGUGAAAUGCGCAGAUAUCAGGAAGAACACCCGUGGCUAAGGCGGCUCUCUAGUACGGUACUGACGCUGAGGCGCGAAGGCGUGGGGAGCGAACGGG